rnacentral:lncRNA from 13 species
ACACACACACACGUGUUCCCAAAACACAUUUUAAGAAUUUAACCCAAGAAGCAGUCAUUCAUUUAACCACCAAUUCAUUUAUCCAAGAGAAAUUAUCGAGAAUGUAUGAUGUGCCCAGCACUGCCAGGCUCGAAUAAGUGGUGAGCAAGUUUGUGCUGCCUUCUCUGGGCUUAGAGGUCUCUUCACAGCUUGAAGUGUGUGACUUUGAGAAUGCGCAGGAUUUCCGGAGGAGAAACAAAGCUGGCUGGCUGGUGGUAGGACAGACCUGGAGGCUCCUUCACUGAACUGUUUUCCUCAAGAGCCACGAGGCCAUUCUGCCCGGGCUCCUCUCCCUUUUGCACACACUCUGGCCUCAGCCCUCCCCUCCUGCCUGCACACACAUUGGUCAAGGGGGUGGGCCACCCAUUGCUCCAAUUGACUUUGCAAGAAGCUUUUUAUAUUGUGUGAAAACAAAUAUCUUAACUCUUUAAGGAAACACGAUUUUUUUUUUUUUUUUAGGGAAAAGCUGAUACUCACUGAUUAAAUAUGAGAAAAGCAUUAUUUACGGUUGACAAUUUGAAUCAGACUUAAUCCAUCUGGUGGCCAAGACCAGCCCUCCUACUCAGCAAUGCUCAGGAAACAAUUGGGGCACUUUGAGCCACAAGGACUGCGGGCAAGCUCUGCCCAGAUUGCUGGGGAAGGAGUAGUGGGGAGACCCAGAAAUCACACUGACAUUACUGAAGCCAUCACCUCACACCUGGGAGAGUCACAAGACCAACCAUUUUCUUCUUGCCCCCCGGCAUGCCUGGAGACCAAAGCCUUUCAAGGGUUGCUAAUCCCUCAGCAAAGGCAGAACAGGAGGAAAUGGCAUUUCUCUAAGCUAAGGGUUUUUUUCCCCCCAGACUUACAAGGAAAAAAAUCGGAGAAAAAAAAUUGAGAAAACUAUGAACACUUAUUUUCUAAGGGCAUUUCUCUUUCAGGGUAAAAAUAACAUAAUGCUCCCUGGCCUCUGUGUCUACCAUCAAGCGAUGAUGGCCUCACCUCUACCAUCUUCCCUGAGGAACCCCUAAGAACGGCCGAGAGUUCGCUGGACCUUGUGUGUGCCAUUGUCGUAAGGGGAGAUCUGGGUGGCUUUGAAAUGUGCCCUGUUUCUGCUAUUUACUUAGGGAAGCACACUGAGUUGUCUUUCUCCCUAGCCAGUGAAUAAAAUCUGAAAGUAUUAAAUUUAAUGUGUAAGA